rnacentral:rRNA from 1 species
GAUGAACGCUAGCUACAGGCUUAACACAUGCAAGUCGAGGGGUAACAAGAGGAAAGCUUGCUUUUCUUGUUGACGACCGGCGCACGGGUGAGUAACGCGUAUCCAACCUGCCUAUAACUAGGGAAUAACCUUGCGAAAGUAAGACUAAUACCCUAUGAUUUCCUUUGAUGACAUCAGAUUAGGAAUAAAGAUUUAUCGGUUAUAGAUGGGGAUGCGUCUGAUUAGCUUGUUGGCGGGGUAACGGCCCACCAAGGCAACGAUCAGUAGGGGUUCUGAGAGGAAGGUCCCCCACAUUGGAACUGAGACACGGUCCAAACUCCUACGGGAGGCAGCAGUGAGGAAUAUUGGUCAAUGGGCGGAAGCCUGGACCAGCCAAGUAGCGUGCAGGAUGACGGCUCUAUGGGUUGUAAACUGCUUUUAUACAGGAAUAAAGUUAGCCACGUGUGGUUAUUUGUAGGUACUGUAUGAAUAAGGACCGGCUAAUUCCGUGCCAGCCGCCGCCGUAACAC